UGAAGCUGUGUUAAGGUAAGCAACCGGACACCCGUUAGUUUUUCGUAAGAUAAUUUAGAAAAAUAUUCCGAUUGUAUGAAAAUCUUAUUUUGUAGAUUUUAAAAAUUAAGGGUUAAGCAUAUUAUUAAAUAUUUCUGUAAAUUGAGCUUCAACUAUGAUUGACAAGUUCGUUUAGCAAAAAGAAUUUUUGAAACCUGAUAAUUUGUUUUGUAAAUUAGUGACUGGAUACAUUUUGAAUU
rnacentral:lncRNA from 1 species